CUUAAAAUAACCAAAAAUUAAAAUAGCCUACUAAAAUAACAACUUCCCAAACACCCACAAUGUCACCUUGAAUGUUAAUGAGUUCACCAGGCCAAUACCAAAAGAUCUUAGAAAACUUUUACAUCUUCACGAUGUGCAAUUUAGCUAUAAUAAAGUACAAGAUGACCGGACUACUUUUAUCUCAUCUUUAACAAACUGCACCAGCUUAGAAUAUAUUGUUGCUGAUGACAAUCUUCUCAAAGGUUCAUUGCCUGACUUCAUAGCCAAUCUCUCCACCCAUAUUAGCUACAUCUCUAUAGGGGGAAAUCAAUUCCAUGGAAGAAUUCCUUCAGGAAUUGGGAACCUCCCUAACCUUACUGUCUUUGAUAUAGUAAUGAGUUAUCUUACUGACCCUAUUCCCAUUGAUAUUGGAAAGCUGUCUAAAUUGCAAGGGUUGUAUUUACAAGGGAACAAUUUCACAGGACUACCUUCUUCACUUUGUAGUUUAACAUCAUUGAAUAUUCUCUCAUUGGGACAAAACACUAUCCAUGGAAGCCUACCUCCAAAUCUUGGCAAUUGUCGUAACUUGUUAGAAUUAAAUUUUUCACAUAAUAACCUCUGCAGUUCAAUACCACCUGAAAUUAUGAAUCUCUCUUCCAUUCAAAAUCUUUUAUGAUGUGUUUGGUUGGGGGAUUUAGGAAGGGAUUUGGAAAUGAAAAGGAAAAAGGUGUGUUAAAUUAGGUGAAAUGUAGAUAUAUUUUAUUCACAUUUCACCUAUCUUUUUCUUUUCCCUUUCCAAAUCACUUCCCAAAUCAUCCAACCAAACACAACAUUUGUUUAGCUCACAAUUCAUUGAUGGAUUCUCUUCUGUCAGAAGUUGGGUCUUUGAAAAAUCUCAAGAAGUUGGAUGUAUCCAAUAAUAGGUUGUCAGGAAGAAUACCAAACUCUCUGAGCAAUUGUUUGAGCUUGGAAUAUCUUUACUUGGGCAGGUAUUCAUUUGAAGUCCAAAUAACUCAAAUUUUGAGAGAGCUAAGGGCUUUACGAGAGUCGGACCUCUCCUGCAACAAUUUAUCGAAGUUGAUCCCAAGUUAUCAAGAAUUGAACCUUCCCCCUUGCCCGCCCUCAUAGUCAAAUGAGAAUAAGUUAUCUUACAAGAUGAAAGUGAUAUUGUGGUGAUUGCUCUUGUGAUAUGUGCAACUUUGUUAGUUGUCUUCUUUAUAUUUCUCCAACGAGGACGUGUCCUGAAAAAGAAGACACCUUCCAUGCCAUCAUUCAAAAACAACAUUUUGAGGGUUUCUUAUGCAGAGCUUCUCAAAGCUACCAAUGGAUACUCAUAGGCUAAUCUAAUUAGUAUUGGAAGCUAUGCUUCUGUUUAUAAAGGUAUUCUUAAUCAUGGUCAGAUGACAAUUGCGGUGAAAGUGCUCAAUCUUCAACUUAGAGGAGCUUUUAAGAGUUUCAUGUCAGAAUGCAAAGCACUAAGACCUAUAAGACAUUGAAAUCUCUUUCCAUGGUAAUAGGAAGCUUACAUAAAUGGCCGCACCCAUAUGGAGUUGCAGAACAAAAACAUCAAGAACUCAAAAAACUUAAAUUGAUAGAGACUGGACAUUUCCAUUGAUAUUGCUUGUGCACUUAUCUUUAUUGUGGUUGUGGGUCAACAAUUAUUCAUGGUGAUCUUAAGCCAAGUAACAUUCGUCUUGGUGAUGAGAUAACAACCUAUGUUGGAGAUUUUGGGUAAGCAAAAAUUAUUUCUGCAUCUUCAAAUGAUGUAUCACAAAGUCAAAGUGAUUCAAUUGCAAUAUGGGGAACCAUAGGCUAUGCUGCUCCAA